rnacentral:rRNA from 1 species
AGCUAAUCUGCCCUAAAGCGGGAAAUAAAGUCGGGAAACUGACCUUAAUGUCCCAUAGACGACUUCUACUGGAAUGUGUUGUCGUUAAAAUAUUGCUUUAGGAUGAGGCUGCGGCUGAUUAGGUUGUUGGCGGGGUAAAGGCCCACCAAGCCGAUGAUCAGUAGGGGCUCUUAGCGGAGAAGCCCCGAGAGGGAAUCUGAGACACUAUUCCCAGCCCUACGGGGUGCAGCAGUCGGGAAACUUCUGCAAUGUACGAAAGUAUGACAGAGCAAGCCAGAGUGAUUCUCUAUAAUUGAGAAUCUUUUGUGAGAUGUAAAAAGUCUCACGAAUAAGGACUGGGAGAGACUGGUGCCAGCCGCCGCGGUAAUACCAGCGGUCCAAGUCGCAAUCACUUUUAUUGGGUCUAAAACAUCCGUAGCUUGUUAUGCAAGUCUCUUGUGAAAUCCGGCCUCUCAAGGGUCGAAGUGCAAGAGAUACUACAUGGCUAGAGACCGGGAGACGUAAGAAGUACGGUUAGGGUAGUGGUAAAAUACGUUGAUCCUUACUGGACUCACGAUAGCGAAGGCAUCUUACGAGAACGGAUCUGACAGUGAGGGAUGAAGGCUAGGGGCGCAAAACGGAUUAGAUACCCGUGUAGUCCUAGCAGUAAACACUGCACACUAAACAUCGGGGCCUCUUCGAGAGGUUUCGGUGCUGUAGGGAAGCCGGAGAGUGUGCUACCUGGGAAGUAUAGUCGCAAGGCCGAAACUUAA